rnacentral:rRNA from 1 species
UACAGAGGGUGCAAGCGUUGUUCGGAAUUAUUGGGCGUAAAGCGCGUGUAGGCGGCUUUGCAAGUCGGGUGUGAAAGCCCUCAGCUUAACUGAGGAAGUGCGCCCGAAACUGCAGAGCUUGAAUACCGGAGAGGAUGGCGGAAUUCCCCCAAGUAGAGAUGAAAAUUCGUAGAUAUGGGGAGGAACACCGGUGGCGAAGGCGGCCAUCUGGACGGCUAUUGACGCUGAGACGCGAAAGCGUGGGGAGCAAACAGG